UACAGAGGGGGCAAGCGUUGUUCGGAAUUACUGGGCGUAAAGGGCGCGUAGGCGGCCCGCUAAGUCGAACGUGAAAUCCCCAGGCUCAACCUGGGAACUGCGUCCGAUACUGGCAGGCUUGAAUCCGGGAGAGGGAUGUGGAAUUCCAGGUGUAGCGGUGAAAUGCGUAGACAUCUGGAGGAACACCGGUGGCGAAGGCGGCAUCCUGGACCGGUAUUGACGCUGAGGCGCGAAAGCUAGGGGAGCAAACGGG
rnacentral:rRNA from 1 species